GAAUAUUGGACAAUGGGCGAAAGCCUGAUCCAGCAAUGCCGCGUGAGUGAUGGAGGCCUUAGGGUUGUAAAGCUCCUUUACCAGGGAUGAUAAUGACAGUACCUGGAGCAUAAGCCCCGGCUAACUCCGUGCCAGCAGCCGCGGUAAUACGGAGGGAGCUAGCGUUGUUCGGAAUUACUGGGCGUAAAGCGCGCGUAGGCGGCGAUCCAAGUCAGGGGUGAAAUCCCGGGGCUCAACCCCGGAACUGCCUCUGAAACUAGAUUGCUAGAAUCCUGGAGAGGCGAGUGGAAUUCCGAGUGUAGAGGUGAAAUUCGUAGAUAUUCGGAAGAACACCAGUGGCGAAGGCGACUCGCUGGACAGGUAUUGACGCUGAGGUGCGAAAGCGUGGGGAGCAAACA
rnacentral:rRNA from 1 species